rnacentral:tmRNA from 1 species
GGGGUUGACUGGAUUUGACGGCAAGACGAGAUGGUACGUAAGCACGCGGAGCUGGGCUAUGGGAGGCUCCUUAAUCUCUUCUGUAGGAAAAUUAAUUGGCAACACUGAGUAUGCUCUCGCUGCUUAAUCGAAGCACAGUAGAUUUUGAGCUUAAUUCCACUACAAGGUAGAGGAACGAGACGUCGCUCCAAGGAUCUGGUUCCGAAUCCGAAGAACAAGCGGCGCAGAUUAAAUCGGAAAUAGUCGCAGUAGGCCUCGAUGCUGUGAUGAGAUUUUAGAGGAUAAGGUUGCAAUUGGUGGCUUGGGUCUUGUUGCAGCACGAAAAUGAAGACCAAGAUAAGCGUGUAGAAAGCGUAUGGUUUCCUUGUGCGGACGAGGGUUCGACUCCCUCCAGCUCCAC